AUGGAGGAGGAGGACAACUUCCAUCCUUUUAUUCGUUGUCAGUUUGGACAUGAUCUAUAUGUUUCAAUGGCUGCGAGUUGGCGCAUCCCUGCACUGGAGUCUAUACAGAAUGUUGGGAAGGAAUGGAUUCUUCAUGUUUUAGCCCCGCUGGAUGAGGUUCAGAGAUGCAUGUUGCUGUUGAUUUUUUGGAGAAGUUGGUUCGUUCGUAAUGAGGUAACACAUGCGAAGCCUGCUCCACCGUUGGCAGUAUCCGUCAGCUUUCUUCAGAGGUAUUUGGACGAGUUAAUUGGAGUUAGAACUAAUGCCCAGUGUGAUCCAGUAAAAGGAAAACUAAGUAUUUCUUAUGACCUAGUUAAUCUUAAAGGAAAGGCUCCUGUACAGGAGUCAGCCUGGGUCCUGCCGCGCCCUGGAUGGGUUAAGCUGAAUACUGAUGGUGCUUUCUCGUUGGUCGAUGGAGCAGGUGCUGGGAUGAUCUUACGUGAUAGUGCAGGCAGUAUAAUUUUUUCAGCCUGCAGAUCCCUGUUCUCUUGCAGGGAUGCAUUGGAAUCGGAGCUAUGCGCAUGUAUGGAAGGAUUGUCUUUUGCGAUCCAAAGAUCGGACCUUCCGAUAGAAGUCGAGAUGGACUCAAAUACUGCAGUGGCUAUGAUCACAGGAGUGGAGACAGACCGGUCGAUCUAUGCUUCUCUGGUGGCAGAAAUUAAGUACUUACUUAGUCUUCGGAUUUCUUGUAUUACUCUUGUUCCUCGGUGUCAGAAUAAGGCGAGCGAUAAACUAGCUAGUUUUGCUAGAGCCGAGGGUCGGACAAUUACGUGGGUUGGGUCAGGCUCGGAUGAGGUAGUGUCGAUUGUCCGAGAUGAUUUAUGGCACAUGCUAAGAGCACGAGUGAGCCGCGACCCGGUCGAUUGCGCAUGUACGUACGAGAACGCACGGAGAUUUGGUCGCGCUUCCAAGCACACGCACGCCCGGAGAGGGAAAGGGUCUCCACAAAAUAUGACAAAGCGGCCGAGCUACUUUCGUCGGCAUAGUAAGCAUCUUUCGAGGUUGUACAAGAAGAAGAAGAAGAAGAAGAAGAAGAAGAAGAAUAAAAUCGCAUGCUAUGUUUGA
rnacentral:rRNA from 1 species